rnacentral:rRNA from 1 species
CGCGUAGGCGGUUACGUAAGUCCGAUGUGAAAAGUCACGGCUCAACUGUGAUCGUGCAUCGGAUACUUCGUUGACUUGAGGUCGGUAGAGGCAAGUGGAACUAGCGGUGUAGCGGUGAAAUGCGCAGAUAUCGCUAGGAACGCCGGUGGCGAAGGCGACUUGCUGGGCCGUACCUGACGCUGAUGCGCGAAAGCUAGGGGAGCGAACCGGAUUAGAUACCCGGGUAGUCCUAGCCGUAAACGGUGGGUGCUAGGUGUGGGGGGCGUAUGUCCCUCUGUGCCGUAGCUAACGCAUUAAGCACCCCGCCUGGGGAGUACGACCGCAAGGUUAAA